AGCGGCGGACGGGUGAGUAACGCGUGGGUAACCUGCCUCAUACAGGGGGGUAACAGUUAGAAAUGACUGCUAAUACCGCAUAAGACCACAGCACCGCAUGGUGCGGGGGUAAAAACUCCGGUGGUAUGAGAUGGACCCGCGUCUGAUUAGCUAGUUGGUAAGGUAACGGCUUACCAAGGCGACGAUCAGUAGCCGACCUGAGAGGGUGACCGGCCACAUUGGGACUGAGACACGGCCCAA
rnacentral:rRNA from 1 species